AAAUUGAAGAGUUUGAUCAUGGCUCAGAUUGAACGCUGGCGGCAGGCCUAACACAUGCAAGUCGAACGGUAGCACAGAGAGCUUGCUCUCGGGUGACGAGUGGCGGACGGGUGAGUAAUGUCUGGGAAACUGCCUGAUGGAGGGGGAUAACUACUGGAAACGGUGGCUAAUACCGCAUAACGUCGCAAGACCAAAGAGGGGGACCUUCGGGCCUCUUGCCAUCAGAUGUGCCCAGAUGGGAUUAGCUUGUUGGUGAGGUAACGGCUCACCAAGGCGACGAUCCCUAGCUGGUCUGAGAGGAUGACCAGCCACACUGGAACUGAGACACGGUCCAGACUCCUACGGGAGGCAGCAGUGGGGAAUAUUGCACAAUGGGCGCAAGCCUGAUG
rnacentral:rRNA from 2 species